GUAGAGUUGCAGUGUAGUAACAGGAAACUAAGGAAGAUGUUAAGGAGACAGGCUGCCAAGGAGGCUUGAAAAGGCAGGGGAGAUGAUGCAGUCAGAUUCCAGGGGGUUGUUCCUGCCUCUGUGAUGAACCAAAGGAACAGCAACACACAGUGAAGUCUUAUUUUUAUUCUGUGCUGUAGCAGUUCAUCAUCCAUUGAUGGCCGUCGCUGGUGAAGCAUCUCAGACUCCCUUGUAACAUCCAGGAGGAAUAUAAAAACAUUCUUGCUCCCUCUUGCUUACUCAUCCCAGCAACCUUGGGGUUAUUAAUUGUGAAGAAAAAGAAGGGCCGGAACUCAACAUGAAUGCCUCCCUUGGUCUCUUUUAAUGGCAAUGGUGCCUACCUGAGAGGUGCCAGAACUAAAUUCUGGAAAUAAACUGCCACAGGGGCCGGAUUAAACCGAAUGGUGGGCCAGAUGAGGCCCCUGGACCACACUUUAGACAUGCCUGACUUAAGGACUCCUAUAAAUCCAGAUGGCUCCAACUCAUACACAGCGAAAUGAGAUCUAUUGGUAAUGACUUGGAAUCUAUAUAAAUAAAAAUGUAAAUGUCUGUUUGUACAAAGUCUAUGCGCUCCAAAAGUUCUUGACCGAUUGCUUUGAAAUUUUGACAUAAUGUUGCAUACGAAUAGGGGAGUGUUUCUGUAUAAUUAGAUUAUAUAGAUGUCACACCUGUGGCAGGUAAACCCCUGUUUUUUGCAAACAGAGCACCAUCUGUUGGGCGUCGAGAUUAUAUAGAUGUCACACCUGUGGCAGGUAAACCCCUGUUUUUUGCAAACAGAGCACCAUCUGUUGGGCGUCGAGAUUAUAUAGAUGUCACACCUGUGGCAGGUAAACCCCUGUUUUUUGCAAACAGAGCACCAUCUGUUGGGCGUCAAAGUAACACAUGCUAUACUAAAUGCAUCAGUGAGGAAAUGCAUCAGUGAGCAGAGGCUGCUGGGAGCGGCUGCCCAGGCGGCUCCUUCUCCAAGGGCGGCGGCCGGAUCUUGCCCCUUCGCCCGGCGGGCCCCAGCAGGAGCA